GACAGAGGUGCCGAGCGUUAGGCGGAAUCACUGGGCUUAAAGCGUGUGUAGGCGGACUUGUAAGUACCUUGUGAAAUCCCACAGCUCAACUGUGGAACUGCUUGGUAUACUGCUUGUCUUGAGCCACUUAGGGGCAGUCGGAACAGACGGUGGAGCGGUGAAAUGCGUAGAUAUCGUCUGGAACGCCAAAGGUGAAAACAGACUGCUGGGAGUGUGCUGACGCUGAGACGA
rnacentral:rRNA from 1 species